UUUUUGGAUUUUUGACAUAAUACUUCAAAGAAAACUUUUCUAUAACAAGGUACUAAGAGACAAUUGUUAUUUAGAAUACUUAGUCUUAAUAAUUUUUUUUGAUGAUUUGCAAUCUUCAGUACCUUUGAUUACAUAUUAAAAGGCAAAAGUCAAGCUUCCAAUUUGGACAGAGACAAGCUCAAAACAACCAUACGAAAGUUUCCCACUACAACGAAGGGCAGACAUAGGUGCAAGAAAAAGGUUUUAAUUAAAUCCCCUAUGUCAGAAAACACUAGAGCACGAAUAGGGUAAAACCCCCUUUUUUGUCUACACAUGAUUGUUAAAUCUCCUUCAUAUAAAAAGAACUUUUGGUAUAGAGAUAAAGAUGGUUCAAUGAGGCAUUCAUGUAUUUCUUUUAAAUUCUCUUCUCAAAAUGCCCGACUGACCACCACUGUACACAAACCACUAUGGCAAAAUAAGGCAUUGUAAAAAUUGUAAUUGUACACCAACAAGAACGUAGGACCGCAACAGUAAGGAUUCAGCAAGUUACAUAGACCUGAUUGUCAUCAUCUGUCAAAGAAAUUGAGAGCAACCUGCAAAACUGUUAAGAACAGAACUACUACACCGAUAAAUGGACAUAAAUUCAUCACCAAGUACAGAUACUAAGAGAUCGAGGCUCUUGUUGACUUGAGAUGGAAUAAAAGAAUGGUAAGAAGGAGGGCAGACAUAAACGUGAGAGGUGACAUUGCCAUUUACUUCAUAGGACAGUGUCAUAUUAAAAGCCUACACCUACACCUAUCCAUUGGUUUUCUAGCCCAAUCUUCUUCAAGCAUAUAGGCCACUCCAGAAGGACGAAAAAGAAACAAACAGAACUGAACAACUUAACUAACAUAUGGAAAUUGAACUUCAAAGAGGAAACAGUCUUGUUACAUUUUUUCAUAUAGAUUCCCUAACUUCUAUUCACAACGCACCAUAUUCAUAACUUCCAUGUCUAGUGACAAUCCAACUUCAGUCAGUCCAUUAGUUCCAAUCCACAAAAUUGCAGUUGAACCAGUAGAAAUUCAGCUCAAACACUAAUGUCGAUUCCUCUGUCAACACCCCAAGAUUUCAGCAACUAUCAGUUUCCAGAAACCAUGCUCAGGCAGAAUUCAAAAACUCAAGCAAAAAUUUCAGAUGGACAACAGCAAAGUAAUGUAAACUCAGAAACUCAGACUUGUGAUCUCUUCGGUUCGGUCCAACUACUAUCUCAAACCAAGAAGAAUUGAUCAAACUAGCUAACUGAACAGUAUAUUUCCGGCAUGUCACAUAGGGCAGAAACAAUGCAGAGUUGUAAUGAAAGUACAACAGGCUCAAGACUAAUCAAAAGCAGAAUUCAAAACAGGUCAGCAAAUUGCAGUAAGAACUCAAGAAAAAAAAAUUUGCAGCAGCAUCAGUUUCUCUUGAACUUUGAAGUAAAUAUGUUGCAGAUUUGCAGUAGAUAAUAGGGAGUAAACAGAUAGACAAUUUGGCGCAAAUAACCAAUGCAAAACAUGUGUUAAAAUGUUGUCAAGUUGCUGACCCAACCGAGUUCUUGAGUGCAGAUUUACAUCUUUAUUUGUGCAGAAUUUUCUGCUCAAAUAGUGCAAAAACAGGGCACACAAUUGCAAAGUUUCUUACCUCCAAUGCCAACCCAAAAUUGCAAUUUCAGUAGAUCAAACAAUGAUCACAACUGUGGGCAACCUGACUCUAUACCAAUUGAUACCAAAUUAUUGUAACGAAGAACACGGAUGAGAAGCAGAGGAGAAUUUCGAGGUUAAACUUACCAUUUUUGUACACAAGCAGCGAUAUUCAUGUUUAGGCAAUAGUACCUCGCACUAGAGAAAACAACAUAGCAUGGCAUGCAGUAGUAUUUGCAUGACUCUUCAUAUUUUAGCUCAAUUUGUCUUUUAGUUUUCUGAAAAAGCCUUUGAAUCUCAGCCAAUAGAGUCAUUGCUUGGUCAGCUGAUGCGUCGCACAAAUGCGAUAUGUUUUUUAUUGUAGAAUCUUCAACUAAUGCUUAGUUAUUAUUUAGUCCACAUGCCUAGAGCAACCUGGCUCUAUACCAAUUGAUACCAAAUUAUUGGCAUCGAAGAUUUUAGCUGUCAAAACAGCGCUGCAAUUUUGCAAACUGGGCAAAGCAAAAGCAAUUGUAGCAGCAGGUGACCAAAUUGCAGUUAAUACUAAACAAUUACAGACAUAUAAAACUGCAGAACUCAAACACAAUCUCAACUAACACAAAAUUUUGGCAGAUUUAGCUUACAAAUCACAAUUCAAGCAUGCUCAAUCCCUAGUCCAACUGAAUCCCCUCUAUUAAGUCAACGACAACAACAACUAUUAACAACCGGUGAAAACAAGUUCAAACUAGGAGAAUUCCUGCUAUCAAUUUACUCAAAAAACUUCUGCACAAAUAGUGGAAAACUUCAACAAUAUAAGCUUCAGAACUUCGUAGUCUUAGCAUAAACAUAAUUGAUAUUCAAUGCAGGAUUUACUUUUCAAACAUUGCCCCACAAAUAACUCAUAGAUUGAAUUGAAAUGACAAAACAACACUUCCAAAAACAAGGACUGAUCCCAACAGAACUUUCGUCAGCAUAAAAGAAGUUUUGACAAGAGCACUUCAACUCAAACUCCAAAACUUUCAAUAUUAAAGUCCAUUGACACAACUCAAUUCAUAAAAAUUUGAACAAGCAACUUCUGAAUUCUAAUACUAACCUAUGUGACUACAAAUGCAAGAUUUCGCUAAUAUCCCGCGAAGCCAAGAAUCCAAACUCACUAGGAAGACCGGACCCUGUGUGGGUUGUCUACGUAUCACGCCCCGAAAGACGAGAAUCAGGUUUGCGUAGUUUGGACAGAUUGGAUACGGGCGAGAAUUAAAAAAAAAACUAAUUUAGAGAAAAUAUUCUUUUUUUUGCCUUUUCUUGUAAAAUGUUGAAACAUGCAAAAUCUUUUGAAUUUUCUCUUUCCAUUUUUUUUAUUUUUUGAAAAAUAAUAUAAAUUGCAAAGUAUUUUUUGUGAAUUUUUCAUGUAUAUCUUUUUCCCCUUUUUUUUUUUAAAAUGUAACAAAAACAUAAUUAGAUCCUACUUGAUUUAUUUUCACACUUCACCCUCUCUUCCUCUUUUCAUUUUUUCAUAUACCCUCAGCUAUCAUUGGUCCGCCAAAUGACCCUUUUGCCCCUGAAUGAAUGCAACAUGUAGCUCAUAGGAUGCAUCAAGAUGGUCUGUUAUUUUGGGUACACCUGUCCUAGAGGAACCCAACCUCUGUGUUGAGUCCCCUAAGUCAAAUACAUGAUGCAGAUAAGCAUUCCUACUAGGGAUCCGACAUGAGGUUUUGUUAUUCUAAGUUUAAGCCCUGGGUUUAUUGUUCUAAACCGUGUACCCGAGCUGACAACUUGAGUCGAGGAGAGGCUACAUACUGGGGACCCGCAAGAUCAUCCGGCUUAGUAACUUGUCUGAGCCUCUUUCUUAUUUCAAGGUAUGACACUGACAGAAUAGGGUGUCUCGACCAGCGAGCACAUCCCCGAAGAUAAGAAGAGAAGGGUUUCAUAACAAUUUAUAUGUACAGUCCACAUAAUAUUUAAGCGGUAAAACAACUUUUAACACAUUAGGUACAAUUAUGCAAUAAAAUCAGAUAAUAAGGCCAGAUACAACAAUUAUUUUAAAGCUCAAUUUCUUAACCCCUGAACCAGAGAUUCUGGGUUCGAUUCCCCAGCAGAGUCGCCAGAGCUGUCACACCUCCUUUUGGCUACACCCCGGCGAAGGGCGUAGAUAAGGGAGUUUCUCCAAUUAAAGGACAACCGAAACGGGAUUUAUUAUUAAAAUUCACAGUCGCCACUUUGGAGAUUUAUGAUGUACCAAGUCACCAGUUAAAUCCCGAAUCGAGGAAAAGAAUGACUCUGCUUAAUAGUCCGCGAACCAAAAAUCCCAGUAAGGAAUUUUGUUAACCCCGGAGAAGGUGUUGGGAAUUCCCGAGUUCCGUGGUUCUAGCAUGAUCCCUCAACUGUCAUACUUGGAUAGAUUAUCUGAUUUGAAAUAAUUAUAAACCUAUGUGCAAAUUUUGACUUUAACCACUUUUAUUUAAUUUUAAGAACAGAAUCGCAACGUCAUUAAAACAUGUCUCGAACUACGUCACAUAAAUGCAUCCGUGGUUUUUGCACAUUUCAACUUCGUUGGGAUUUGGAUUUGGGUCACAUAAAUGCGCACCUGAAUUUAAGAAAGUAAUAUUAUUAAACACGCGCCUAAAUCAACUACACGUUUGCACUUUGCGAGGGCCAUGUAAUUCGCUAAAUGGCACGCCUCAGAAUCUAUAGAUUAGUUAAAGAUUAAAUAAAGCGAGAGCCGCACAAUUAUCAUUUUUGUUUGGCAUGGCACGCCUCAAUUCUAGGAAAAAAGGUAUUCAACUAGGCUUCGCAGGGCCAUAAGCUAUUUAUAUUAUAUAUUAUGGCACACUUCCAACUAUAUGUACUAUCUUCACCAACCGUAAAUCAUCUAUACUAAUAAAUAAAUAAACUUUAAAUCAACAAAACUGAACAUGGUUAUAAUAGCUUGCACAAUUUUCGUGCCAAUAUACCUUCACUUAUUUCCUCACGACAAAAGGGGAAGUGAGAAGUUCACAACACAACACCACCUAAUGGUAUAUCUCAACCUUUGUCAAUUUGGUUAUUCCAUCAAUACCGAUUGCAACAAUCAAAGAAACCGACUAUGUCUCAAUACAACAUUGAUUAGGGUAGAUUGCAAUCACACACACAUUUCUGCCAUUGUAUCAGAUGCACUUUAGACGAUAAGGAGCUAUUUCAUCAUGAAGGAAAAUAUUUUGUUUAAGCAAGUCUAAUAGAAUAAGAGUUGGGAUAGUAGCAAAAAAACAAUGAUCCAGAAAAGAACUUCACAGACACGAUGCGUUGAUCAUAAGAACCAUGAAAUCAGUCAACUUGAAUCCAAAUGCAACAAUUAGUUCACAGCCAUUUCAUAUCCAUUUAACAAAAGGUUCUCCAUUUUCAAAGGAUUAUUUACAAGAACGUCUGAUUUGGAACACAUAGGACAAACUAGUUUUUCAAACAAGAAAAUCAAACCAAGUUUGGCUACUACGAAAACUUAGCACAAUCACAUAUUAUAUGAUUUAGAACAAAACAUCAUAGCAAAUUUCAGCAGACCUUUGUGUCUCAUUCUACUCAUCUCAAUAUCACUUAAUCAUGAAAAGAUAUUUCGAGUGUAAUCAAAUAAAGGGGAAAAAAGUGGAAAAGGAACCUGUUCCGUGAAACUUUCUUAACAACUGAAUGUAGCAAGCUCAGCUACAAUGUCUAGCUCCGGAAUCCAACUCAUCACUAUAACGCCGAAUAGAGGAAACGAACAGACAUCUACAACUUUGUUGGACGCUGUAUCUCCAAGGCUUCGACUUGGCGUUGAGCAACCAUAGUUCAACCAGGCUACACCAACAAGGCUCACUCGAUGAACUCGACACUUCAAUACCAUGUUCCGAAUAGGUCUCACAAGCGAGCUUCACAAUGGACUCAAAUCAACAGAACCCAGCAUCAGAAUAAAGUUUAAAAACUGAAAUUGCUUUUCAAUUAAUAGAGCUUCAGCAACUAUCAAAACUGAAAAUUGAACUUUCGAUUGAUGAAAUAUUCAGUAAUACACGAGACAGAAAUCGAGCAAGUGUCACAAUGCCAAAUUCGAAACAGCUGAAGCUUGAACCUACAAAUACUAGACAGAUCUCAAACCAUAAACAAAGAGCUACGAUCUUAAAUUGAACCUCGACAAAACCCCAUCGAAUCCAGCCUAGAACUCAGACUUCAACCUCCAGCAGCAAUCACGUGACUCGAACUUGAAAACCUCGAGCCAUCUUUAUUUUUUGCAACCAAAACGGUGUGCGUGCGUGUUUCAGAUUUUGUGUGUCUAUGGUUGUGUCCAAAAUGGUCUAUUGCGGCUAAUUUUGGUUCUCGUGGUCUAGGGUGUGUGGAAGGAGAAGAAGACGGAGAUACGGGUCUUCAAUGGGUGUCAAAGAAGAUUAUGUUUCAGGGGGAAUCAUUUGUAUAUUGGUGUUCUUUGCUGAAGAAGAUGAAGAACGAGAUGGGGGAGGGGUCCUUAGUCCGCAGCUGCGCAGCUCUUUCGUUCAUCUCUCUAUUAGGCGUGUAUAUUUUGUUAUGUGUAUUACGUCUAG
rnacentral:lncRNA from 1 species